CAGAGGACAGAGCCUGCUCCUUGGCAGCUCAAUCUCCCUGAGGGGCGGGCGGCGCCUUAGGAACUGGAAUUAUUUAGCAGCUGACACAUUCAAGUCACUCCAAGGAAUCUCCCACCCUGCACAGAAGUCUGAUCCAAUUUGCUGGGCCGCCCUCCUGAGACCCUCUGUUUCCAGAUGCACAUCCAAGCCAUAUUUUAGGUCAAAGUGGAAAACCGGAAACUCAGAGAGAAGGAACUCUCCCUAGGCCUCUGGACAGCAAGUCUCAGGAUGGGCCUGGAUUGUUGAGUCACCACUUGGAGAAAAACCUCCCCAAACAGCCCAGCCAACCCAGAAGCACUUCAGGGGACUUAGGGGAAGAAACCAACUUUCAUCAGUACCCUGCUUCCUGCCUCCUGCUGCCUGGAACUGAAGCCUGAAGUCACAUACCCUGUGGCUCCCUUCAAGCGCCUGCAAAGCCUGAUCGUGUCCCCACUGAGGUACUAAUGAAUGCCCU
rnacentral:lncRNA from 1 species